GAUGAACGCUGGCGGCGUGCCUAAUACAUGCAAGUCGAACGAAACUUCUUUAUCACCGAGUGCUUGCGCUCACCGAUAAAGAGUUGAGUGGCGAACGGGUGAGUAACACGUGGGCAACCUGCCCAAAAGAGGGGGAUAACACUUGGAAACAGGUGCUAAUACCGCAUAACCAUAGUUACCGCAUGGUAACUAUGUAAAAGGUGGCUAUACUACCGCUUUUGGAUGGGCCCGCGGCGCAUUAGCUAGUUGGUAGGGUAAAGGCUUACCAAGGCAAUGAUGCGUAGCCGAAUUGAGAGGUUGAUCGGCCACAUUGGGACUGAGACACGGCCCAAACUCCUACGGGAGGCAGCAGUAGGGAAUCUUCCACAAUGGGCGAAAGCCUGAUGGAGCAACGCCGCGUGGGUGAAGAAGGUCUUCGGAUCGUAAAACCCUGCUGUUAGAGAAGAAAGUGCGUGAGAGUAACUGUUCACGUUUCGACGGUAUCUAACCAGAAAGCCACGGCUAACUACGUG
rnacentral:rRNA from 1 species